rnacentral:rRNA from 1 species
UGUCUUUUAAGUACCUUACGUUUCCUCGGCGG